AAACUUAAAAAACGUAUAAAUUGAAAACCCCAAUCCAAACACACCCUAGGGUUUUCUUCUUCCUCUAUUCUUCUCUCUGCAGCAAACGAACAGAGAAAAACCCUGGCUAUAAAAUCUCACUUUCACAUUGUAUUAUAUAACAAAAGCAUCCCUUUUUAUUUGAUCUCUUCACCUUUAAGGUAAGCUCUCAAUAACCCAUAUCUCAAAAUCCCUUCGUUUUUUUUUCCUGUAUAUUCCAAAAUCUGUUCAAAACCCCAGAAGUAAAAUCAAAUAAAGUUCCAAACUGGGCUUUGGAAAUUCAUCUAUACGAAAAAAGAAAUUUUAAGGAAAAAUCAGUAUGGAUGAUGUUGAAAAGGCAAUAUUGAUUAGCUUUGAUGAAUCAGUUACCUUAGAUUCAGGAUUAAAAUCACAGGCAGUGAACUUUUGUCAGCGAAUUAAAGAAACCCCGUCAAUAUGUAGCCUUUGUAUUGAGAAGUUGUGUUUUUGCAAGCUCGUUCAGGUUCAGUUUUGGUGUUUACAAACUUUACGUGAUGUUAUUAGUGUAAAAUAUGGGUCCAUGAGCUUGGAAGAGAAGAACUUUAUCAGAAAGUCAGUUUUUUCGAUGGCGUGUUUAGAACGUAUCGAUGGUAAGUUGUGUGCUGUUUUGGAAAGUCCUACAUUUAUUAAAAACAAGCUUGCUCAGGUUUUGGUUAUUUUGGUUUACUUUGAGUACCCUUUGAUUUGGUCAUCAGUUUUUGUUGAUUUCCUGCCUCAUUUGAGUAAAGGGGCUGUGUUGAUCGAUAUGUUUUCUCGGCUUUUGAAUGCAUUGGAUGAUGAGUUGAUUAGUUUGGAUUAUCCACGGACACCUGAAGAGGUGGCAGUUGCAGGAAGGGUUAAGGAUGCAAUGAGGCAACAGUGUGUGGCUCAGAUUGUUAGAGCAUGGUAUGACAUUGUGUCUAUGUAUAGGAGUUCUGAUCCUGAAGUUUGCACUACUGUUUUGGAUUGUAUGAGGAGGUAUAUUUCCUGGAUUGACAUUGGGUUGAUUGUGAAUGAUGCGUUUAUUCCGCUACUGUUUGAGUUGAUUUUGCUUGAUGGUUUAUCAGAACAACUUCGUGGUGCUGCUGCCGGAUGUGUUUUGGCAGUAGUUUCUAAACGAAUGGAUGCACAGUCAAAACUAACUCUUUUGAAGAGUCUUCAAAUAAGUCGAGUUUUUGGUUUGAUAUCUGAUGAUAAUGAUUCUGAGUUGGUUUUGAAAGUAGCAGCCUUAAUAACAGGGUAUGCAGUGGAGGUUUUAGAGUGUUCCAAGCGGCUGAACUCAGAAGAUGCUAAGGUGGUUUCGAUGGAGCUUUUAGAUGAAGUUUUGCCAACAGUGUUCUAUGUAAUGCAAAAUUGUGAGAUGGAUGCAGCAUUUAGUAUUGUCCAAUUUCUUUCAGGUUAUGUUGCCACCAUGAAAACCCUUUCUCCUUUGCAAGAGAAACAAAUGCUUCACAUCAGUCAGAUACUGGAAGUGAUUCGUACACAGAUUCGUUAUGAUCCCAUGUACCGCAAUAAUCUUGAUAUAUUGGAUAAGAUUGGGAUGGAAGAAGAAGACAGGAUGGUGGAGUUUAGAAAGGAUUUGUUUGUGUUGUUACGGAACGUAGGUCGAGUAGCACCUGAAGUUACUCAGAUCUUUAUCACGAAUUCAUUUGCUAGUGCUAUUGCAUCUUCGUCAGACAGGAAUGUGGAAGAGGUAGAAGCUGCCCUUUCCCUUUUGUACGCACUUGGAGAGUCUAUGACUGAUGAGGCAAUGAGGGCAGGAACUGGACUGUUGAGUGAACUGGUGACAAAUCUAUUAUCAACAAGAUUUCCAUGCCAUUCCAAUAGGAUAGUUGCCCUUGUGUACUUGGAGACGAUAACAAGGUAUAUGAAGUUUGUCCAGGAGAAUACACAAUAUAUUCCUUUGGUAUUGGCUGCCUUUCAUGAUGAAAGAGGCAUACACCAUCCAAACAUCAAUGUGAGUCGCAGGGCAAGUUAUCUGUUCAUGAGGGUUGUAAAAUUGCUGAAAUCGAAGCUUCUGCUUUUCAUAGAGAUGAUUUUGCAGAGCCUGCAAGAUGUUGUUGCUCGAUUUACAAGUAUGAAUUUUGCAUCUGAAGAUGGUGCUCACAUUUUUGAGGCAAUUGGCCUGUUGAUUGGGAUGGAAGAUGUGCCGCUGGAAAAGCAAUCUGAUUAUCUCUCUUCAUUGCUAACUCCUCUUUGUCAACAGGUUGAGGCAAUGCUGAUGAAUGCAAAAAUAUUGACUCCAGAAGAGUAUCCUCUAAAAAUUGCCAAUAUCCAGCAAAUAAUUGUGGCAAUUAAUGCUCUAAGCAAGGGUUUCAGUGAGCGCCUUGCAACUGCGAGUCGCCCUGCGAUUGGUCACAUGUUUAAGCAGACAUUGGAUGUUCUUCUCCAAAUCCUUGUUGUAUUUCCAAAGGUGGAGCCUUUGCGGACUAAGGUUUUAUCAUUCAUACACCGUAUGGUGGACACCUUAGGUGCAUCUGUGUUUCCUUACCUUCCAAAGGCAUUGGAGCAAUUACUUGCAGAAAGUGAGCCAAAGGAAAUGGUUGGUUUCCUCUUAUUGCUCAAUCAACUUAUAUGCAAAUUCAGCACCUUGGUCCAUGAUAUAUUGGAAGAAGUAUUUCCGGCUAUUGCUGGUAGGAUAUUUAGUGCCAUCCGAAGGAUUGCUGAUUCUUCGGGACCUGAAGCCAAUACUGAGGAAAUUCGUGAAUUGCUAGAACUUCAAAAGACAUUAUAUACUUUUCUUCAUGUGAUAACUACGCAUGAUCUGUCUUCCGUUUUCCUUUCCCCAAAAAGCCUGGGCUACUUGACUUCAAUUAUGCAGUUGCUGUUACAUACAUCUUGCCAUCAUAAGGAUAUUAAUACAAGAAAGGCUUGUGUACAGAUAUUUAUUAGAUUAAUUAAAGACUGGUGUGCCCGGCCUUAUGGUGAAGAAAAGGUACCUGGUUUCCAAAGUUUUAUGAUAGAGACCUUUGCGACAAACUGUUGUUUGUACAGUGUGCUUGAUAAAUCGUUCGAAUUUGGUGACGCAAAUACUCUUAUUUUAUUUGGAGAAAUUGUGUUGGCUCAGAAGGUGAUGUAUGAGAAGUUUGGGGAUGAUUUUCUUGUUCAUUUUGUAUCAAAAGGAUUUCCAUCUGCACACUGCCCUCAAAAUCUGGUAGAGCAGUAUUGUCAAAAAUUGAAGGGUAGUGACAUCAAGGCAUUGAGAUCAUUUUACCAGUUGCUUAUUGAAAAUUUACGUCUCCAACAGAAUGGAAGUCUUGUUUUCAGAUAGCAGCAUCAAGAUGGCCAAAUGAUUAUUUCAGUUUGAUGGUCCAAAAUUUUUUCAGUUUUUUGGCGUUCCAUUUAUUGUUCACCAAAGGUUUCUUUAUGUAAAUAUCAUUUGUGUGCCUAUUCCAUGGACAACGAGUUGUAUAUUUCCGGAAGCAAGCCUUUUUUUUAAUCUUCGAGUUUGGUUAAAUCCUUCAGUUUCAACAUGCUGAGUAGGAUGAAAGUUUUUGUGAGAGCUGUUCAUAGUUUUUUUUUUCCCCUCCAAUUUUAUAAUACAUUUUUCUUGGUUCAUUUAGAUCUCCAAUCGAGUGUAUGUGACUAGAUUAUUACAAAAAAAUAACUAUAGGACAUUCGUUUCGUUCAUUGCUUUUAUACAGUCGUGUUUGUUGGCAAGUUUAUAUGGUCAAUUCAAACUGGCAUUAUACUCCCAA